rnacentral:rRNA from 1 species
UCCGGUUGAUCCUGCCAGAGGUUACUGCUAUCGAGAUUCGACUAAGCCACGCGAGUUGAAUGUUCUUCGGAACAUGGCGGACUGCUCAGUAACACGUGGACAACCUACCCUUGGGUCCGGCAUAAUCCUGGGAAACUGGGAAUAAUUCCGGAUAGGUCACCGAUGCUGGAAUGCGCGGUGGCCGAAAGCUCCGGCGCCCGAGGAUGGGUCUGCGGCCUAUCAGGUUGUAGUGGGUGUAACGUACCUACUAGCCUACGACGGGUACGGGUUGUGAGAGCAAGAGCCCGGAGAUGGAUUCUGAGACACGAAUCCAGGCCCUACGGGGUGCAGCAGGCGCGAAAACUUUACAAUGCGGGAAACCGUGAUAAGGGGAUCUCGAGUGCCAGCAUAUAAUGUUGGCUGUCCAGAUGCCUAAAAAGCAUUGUUAGCAAGGGCCGGGCAAGACCGGUGCCAGCCGCCGCGGUAACACCGGCGGCCCGAGUGGUAACCGCUAUUAUUGGGUCUAAAGGGUCUGUAGCCGGCCAGGUAAGUCCCUUGGGAAAUCUGGCAGCUCAACUGUCAGGCUGCUAGGGGAUACUGUUUGGCUUGGGACCGGGAGAGGUGAGAGGUACCUUGGGGGUAGGGGUGAAAUCUUGUGAUCCUCGAGGGACCACCAGUGGCGAAGGCGUCUCACCAGAACGGGUCCGACGGUAAGGGACGAAAGCUAGGGGCACGAACCGGAUUAGAUACCCGGGUAGUCCUAGCCGUAAACGAUGCUCGCUAGGUGUCAGUCACGGUGCGACCGUGAUUGGUGCCGUAGGGAAACCUGAAAGAACCCCCUGGGAAUUAGGGCGCCAAGGCGAAACUUAAAGGAUGGGGGGGGAGCAUUCAAAGGGGUGGAGCGGGCGGUUUAUUGGGAUCAAGCCCGGGAAUCUUCCGGGGGGGAAAAGAAAUAUAAGUCAGGCUGAGAAUUUUACGGGAUUAGCUAAGAGGUGGGCAUGNCCGUCGUCAGUUCGUACUUGAAGCAUCUUGUUAAGUCAGGCACGAGCGAAGACCCACAUCACAGUUGCCCAGCAUAUUCUCCGGAAUGAUGGGUACACUGUGAAGACCGCCGCUGCUAAAGCGAGGNAAGGAGUGGGCAACGGUAGGUCAGUAUGCCCNGAAUCUCCCGGGCUACACGCGGGCUACAAUGGUUGGUACAAUGGGCAUCUACCCCGAAAGGGGAAGGAAAUCUCUUAAAACCAAUCGUAGUUCGGAUUGAGGGCUGCAACUCGCCCUCAUGAAGCUGGAAUCCGUAGUAAUCGCGUUUCAACAGAACGCGGUGAAUACGUCCCUGCUCCUUGCACACACCGCCCGUCAAACCACCCGAGUAGGGUCUGGAUGAGGGUGUGUUUUAUUGACACAUUCGAAUCUGGGCUUUGCAAGGGGGGUU